UUUUGAAGUUUAUUCAAAUCUUAAAUUCUAUGAUGCUGAAAAAUUGUGUAUAUAUCCAGAUAUGGUUUUUAAAUGUAUAUUUUUGCUUAAGUAUGCUAAAAAUGUAUAUUCAAAGAUUUAAAUUCCAACUCUUUGUGAGACUUUGUUGUUGAGCUUGGAGUACAGGAUCUAGAACACACUAAUUUGGUGAAUAUUUUUUCUCCUUAUCUGUAAUACAUCUAAAUAAUAAAACGUAAAUAAGUAUUAAAGAUGCUAUUUGGAUAUGUGUUUGAUAGAAAAAUCUCAUUAUGUGCUAGGUCAAUAAUAUAGUAUAAUCACCUUCAUUUGUGAUUUCACAAAUAAUAUCAAACUCUAAAUAUUUCUUCAAGCAGCAGAAAUUGAAAUAAAGAAAAAUAUAAAAUUGUAAUAAUAUAUUUUGUUGUUGUUGUUUUUGUAUGUACAGAUAACCUGUGAGGACUUUAAAAUUUGGAUCCAUUUAAGAACUCAGAAUCCUGGGAUUUUUUUAUUUUUUUAAUUUUUUAUUUUUUUACUCUUAUCAUACAAGGAAUACUUUGCAGAAACUACUUCUCUUUUGAAGAGUGUUUUCAAGACACAGCAGGGAAAUGCCAAGAGUUUGGGGAAGCUAUCAAGAAAAGAAAGUUCUAUGCCUUGCUGAAUACUCUUCUGUUUUUCUUCAUUCGAAAAAAAAUUAAAGCUUUAAAAACAGAAGGUAAGUUCAAAUCUAAUGUGGCUGGUUUGAUAGACUAUAAUUAGUCCUAUUUAGACACCCUGGGUGUCAUAAGCAGGCCGUUUCAGUCCCCAGUUAGAAAUAAAUUGGCCUAUGCUUUGAUUUUAUUUGAAGUCUCUAGGUUGUCAUACCUAGUUUCAAAGCUGCCAAAUGAUUUCUCUCAAAUUAUAAGCAUCCCCAUUCUGAAAAUAGUAGGUAAAGUUAUAAACCACCCUUUUUCUAAUUCUCAGAUUAUCCUACACAUGAAAGUUUUCCUGGAUUGGAAGAUAGUGAUUUAUGGAAGAUAAAUACAAGGAUAAGAUAAAUUUCAAGGAUGAAAUUGCUAUGAAAUGACUAAUAAGAAUUACUUCUUUCAUUUCCUUCCUAUUUACCAUAUUCAAAUUCUGAGGUAUUAUUUUUGAAACCAUUCAAUCCCAAAAAAGAUCUUAAUGAUGUAUAGAUCUGUGUGUCAUAACAAGCCAGACCUCAUAACAUCUGUAUGAUAGACACAGUAGAUUUUUUUUUUAAAUAAAUGCCUUAGCUAGAUCAUUUGUUCCUAUUCUUUUUAUGUAAAGGUACUGCUUCUUUAUUUAUCUUUUUUCAUAAAUCUUAGAAGUUACCAAAAUCAUGCAGAGUGCUCAGUAAAACCUUUCCUGGAAAGACAUAGAAUUAGCUGUCCAUAAUGCAAGUGAAAGAGUAAAUGGUGAGACUCCUCUCUUGCUUAAAGAGUGUUUGUGAAUGAUAGAAAGUGCGGCAUAUUGGAAAUGGUUAUCAUGUGUUAGACUGAAUUGGAUUCUAUCAUUGAUUGAUAAGGAAUCCCCGCAUAAAUUUAUUGAUAUGCUCCAAUAUUAAUCAGUUUACAUCAAAAGUAUAACUUGAUAAUAUUAUCAGAUUACAAUCUUAUACUGAACGUGGUUUGUUUAUUAUAAAAUUAAUUAUCAAUAUGUUGCCUCUGUGAUCAUUCCUAAACAACUCUUGUUUCUAACCAUCAGUCACUAAAUUUUUUUAAACAUACUUGACUAUAUAUUAGUCAGCUGUUUUAAAGAUAUCUGUGAUUACCAGUCAUAAAUUAAAUGCAUAUCUGUGUACCUUAAUUGAAUUUGCUUUUGCAAUGUGGGAAACAGGUUGUUUAUGAUCUAUUUGACAUUAUAAUGCAAGCCAACCCCAUGUAACAUCACAGCUGUAGGUAAAAGCGUUUGGGGUCUGGUGCUCAUUUUCCAGAUGGAUGAUGGAUAAGCAAUUUAAAUUUAUUGUGGAAGUAUCAGCAGAUGGAAAUAGAAUGGAGUAAAAGUCUCUGCUACCUGUGAACUGAUGUACUCCAUCAAUUACCAGCCAAAUAAAUUAUAUUCCUGGAGUUCAACACAACUCUAAUUAAUUUUUGAGAAGAGCCUUUUUGUCAACCUAUUAAUAAAUCCAAGUCACAGGUUGAGAACAAGGAGUUUGCUCAGCUGUACAGAGAACCUAUGGAAAGGAGUUCAGCAGCCCAUAGCUCACUCUUGUUAAUUCAGAUGCCUUACUGGCAUUCUCUACUAAUUGAAAAGCAUAUUGGUGCCACUGCACGCAAUUGAAAUAAAUGAGACAGACUGGUCACUCCAAAUAGACAUAAGUAAAUUAGAAUUGAUGAUGCUGAUGAAAGUAAAUUCAUGGUGUCACUUUAAAUGCAUGCCAGUUUCAUUCAUGGUCUUGUACCUGAUAUGUCAACUGAAAUCACUAAACACUUUCAGGUGAAAGAUUGACAGUUUCAACUUGAUCUUCCCCCUACCCCCAAUUGUAUCCCUGUUACUCUGAGAGGUAAUCCAUAGAAAAGGAGGUAUUGAGACUAGCCUCUGAGA
ensembl:lncRNA